rnacentral:miRNA from 14 species
UGGGGAAUGGGGUGCUUGAAAGGUUUGGGAGCCUUUAAGUGAUUUUCCUGGCCUCUUCAUUCUCCCAG